CCUACGGGAGGCAGCAGUAGGGAAUCUUGCACAAUGGGCGAAAGCCUGAUGCAGCCAUGCCGCGUGAGUGAAGAAGGCUCUAGGGUUGUAAAACUCUUUCAGCGGGGAAGAUAAUGACGGUACCCGCAGAAGAAGCCCCGGCUAACUCCGUGCCAGCAGCCGCGGUAAU
rnacentral:rRNA from 1 species